rnacentral:rRNA from 1 species
UACAGGGGGUGCAAACGUUGCUCGGAAUCAUUGGGCGUAAAGCGCACGUAGGCGGUCUGUUAUGUCGGAUGUGAAAGCCCUCGGCUCAACUGAGGAAGUGCAUCCGAAACUGGCAGGCUAGAGUACUAAAGAGGGUCGCGGAAUUCCCGGUGUAGAGGUGAAAUUCGUAGAUAUCGGGAGGAACACCGGUGGCGAAGGCGGCGACCUGGUAGAUACUGACGCUGAGGUGCGAAGCGUGGGAGCAAACAGGG